GACGAACGCUGGCGGCGUGCCUAAUACAUGCAAGUUGAGCGCUGAAGGUUGGUACUUGUACCAACUGGAUGAGCAGCGAACGGGUGAGUAACGCGUGGGGAAUCUGCCUUUGAGCGGGGGACAACAUUUGGAAACGAAUGCUAAUACCGCAUAAAAACUUUAAACACAAGUUUUAAGUUUGAAAGAUGCAAUUGCAUCACUCAAAGAUGAUCCCGCGUUGUAUUAGCUAGUUGGUGAGGUAAAGGCUCACCAAGGCGAUGAUACAUAGCCGACCUGAGAGGGUGAUCGGCCACAUUGGGACUGAGACACGGCCCAAACUCCUACGAGAGGCAGCAGUAGGGAAUCUUCGGCAAUGGACGAAAGUCUGACCGAGCAACGCCGCGUGAGUGAAGAAGGGUUUCGGAUCGUAAAACUCUGUUGGUAGAGAAGAACGUUGGUGAGAGUGGAAAGCUCAUCAAGUGACGGUAACUACCCAGAAAGGGACGGCUAACUACGUG
rnacentral:rRNA from 1 species